rnacentral:lncRNA from 1 species
GGAAUGCGAAUGCGGCGAAGCCAGAAUUUAAAAUUUAGAAAAUCAUAAUUUAAAUUGGGUAAAUUUUAAAUAUUACUUAUGUGGUAUUGUAUUUUCUCACUUUACUAUCCUAUGAUUUAAAGUGUAUCAAUUUGGUAUCCUGUGGUUUUAUUUUUCUCUUUUCGUCAGCCCCUCCGUUAACUUUUCGUUAAAUUAUAUAUAAAAAAUUUCAGAUAUUAAUUUCACCUAUAAUUUAUCGAAUAUUCACUUUAGUGCCCUUUAGUUUUAACUUUGUCAUUGAUUUAAUGAAAGAAAUUUAGUAUAGGGGAUAACAAAAAGAAAAAAAAUAAAACCAUAGGAUACGAAAUUGAUACACUUUAAACCACAGAGUACUAAAGUGAGAAAAUACGAAACCACAGAGAUGAUAUUUAAUGUUUUUCUAUUUAAAUUUAAUAGAAAAAAAUUUGAUCUCAGAUAAUAAG